CCUUCUGGGCUCACCAAAACGGACGUAAAAGCGUGUUAACCAUUUACUGCAAGUGAUCGCUAGUAAACAUAUUACACUUGCUCUGCUAGUCUAUCGUUAGCUAGCUAGCUUUUAGUUCAUU